UCUCAUGGUCUACUUGCACAAUAAUACAGGCUUGCUAAUCCAAAACACAAUCAAACAUAUCAUUAGCCCAAAGUUGGCAAAGGAUACUAGUACAGUGAGCUGUUUUUGGACUAACUAAUGGCAUAAGAUAUUGAGAAUAAUCAUAU